UCAGCAUGGUGGAAAGCAACAGCAAGGCAGGGAGUGUAGGAGUGUAAGAGUGUAGGAUUUGGGGAAACAAAUUGUUGUAUGAACAGCUCCAGAACUUCCUUAGGAGAUUAAGCACACAAAGAGUUACAUGUAUUCUAACGCUAGGUAUAGCUUAGUGGUGGGUUGCUACCAGUUCGCCCCGGUUUGUGCGAACUGGUAGCAGCAGUGGCUGGAGGCUCUGCCCACCCACCCAGACAUCAUUAAAUAUUCUCUGCACAUGCACAGAAGUGGCGAGUGCACGACCGAACUGCUAGUAAAGCCACAAGUGCGAACUGAAGUCCAUCAUGUGGAGAAGAUUAAUGGGGAAUCAGGAACAGACAGAAAAAGCAGGCUCUACUAAUUUGGUGGCUUUCAGAGUUUCAAGGCAAUUCUGAAAAUACUUCUAAAUCCUGUGGAAAAAAUGAAAAUACAAAAUAUGAUCCAUCUCCGUGCUGUUCAGAUUCUUCAAUAGAAGAGGAGGAGGAAGAGAAGGAAGGAUUAAUGCAAAAAAGAAUUACAUAAG